AGUAAAUUGGUUAAGUUAGAAAGGGCGCACGGUGGAUGCCUUGGCACUAGGAGCCGAAGAAGGACGGGACUAACACCGAUAUGCUUUGGGGAGCUGUACGUAAGCGUUGAUCCAGAGAUUUCCGAAUGGGGGAACCCACUAUCUUUAGUCGGAUAGUAUCCUUACGUGAAUACAUAGCGUGAGGAAGGCAGACCCAGGGAACUGAAACAUCUAAGUACCUGGAGGAAGAGAAAGAAAAAUCGAUUUCCUGAGUAGCGGCGAGCGAAACGGAAAGAGCCCAAACCAAGAAGCUUGCUUCUUGGGGUUGUAGGACACUCUAUACGGAGUUACAAAAGAAAGUUAUAAAUGAAGCGGUCUGGAAAGGCCCGCCAAAGACGGUAACAGCCCGGUAGUUGAAAUGGCUUUCCCUCCAGAGUGGAUC
rnacentral:rRNA from 1 species